UACAGAGGGGGCAAGCGUUGUUCGGAAUUACUGGGCGUAAAGGGCGCGUAGGCGGCCUCCGCAAGUCAGUUGUGAAAUCUCCGAGCUUAACUCGGAAAGGUCAACUGAUACUGCGGGGCUAGAGUGCGGAAGGGGCAACUGGAAUUCUUGGUGUAGCGGUGAAAUGCGUAGAUAUCAAGAGGAACACCUGCGGCGAAGGCGGGUUGCUGGGCCGACACUGACGCUGAGGCGCGAAAGCGUGGGGAGCGAACAGG
rnacentral:rRNA from 1 species